UUUAACAUGAGAUAUUGGUGCGGUUCAAUCAGAAAUCAGCUCUUUCCUUUUACAGUUCUGUUAUUUGAUUGAGCCAUGCCAAUAUCACAUAUCAAAUA
rnacentral:pre_miRNA from 1 species